rnacentral:rRNA from 1 species
AAUGAACGCUGGCGGCGUGCUUAACACAUGCAAGUCGAACGAUGAACUUGGAGCUUGCUCUGGGGGAUUAGUGGCGAACGGGUGAGUAACACGUGAGUAACCUGCCCUGGACUCUGGGAUAACUUCGAGAAAUCGGAGCUAAUACCGGAUAGGACCUUGCACCGCAUGGUGUGGGGUGGAAAGUUUUUCGGUUUGGGAUGGACUCGCGGCCUAUCAGCUUGUUGGUGAGGUAAUGGCUCACCAAGGCGUCGACGGGUAGCCGGCCUGAGAGGGUGACCGGCCACACUGGGACUGAGACACGGCCCAGACUCCUACGGGAGGCAGCAGUGGGGAAUAUUGCACAAUGGGCGCAAGCCUGAUGCAGCAACGCCGCGUGCGGGAUGACGGCCUUCGGGUUGUAAACCGCUUUUAGUAGGGAAGAAGCCUUCGGGUGACGGUACCUGCAGAAAAAGGACCGGCUAACUACGUGCCAGCCGCCGCAGUAAAAC